UCCACACAGCCAAGAAAACAAUCCAAGGGAAACACUGCUGAAGAUGAAAAAACAGCAGCUGGAGUCUCAGAGGGCGAGGUUGUGCCUUUCGGUGAACAACCGCAUCAUUUUAUUUAGAACUGAUGUCAGAGCUGGUGGUUAACAGGGAGGGGCUGCCCGUACGGUGACACCGGGUACAUGCAUGAUGUCUGUAUAUGUGUGUGUGUGUGUGUGUGUGUGUGUGUAUAUGUGUGUGUGUGGUUGCAUUUAACCAGCACAUGUGUUGGGGGAUAUGGCAGUUGUUGCAGAGGCAAGAAUUUGUGUGUGUGUGUGUGUCUUUAAGUGUGUGCAUUAAAAAUAUCUUCGUCACAGCAGGAAGCCACAGUAGCCAAUUACAGUGCAGCAUCUGGGCUAGCACACAUUUAUUAGUGUGUGUGGGUUUGUGUGUGUGUGUGUGUGUGUGUGUAGAGAGGUUCAGACAGAGUUCAGAUUAUUUACAACUUAGCAUGUAGAGUUUCGGUAAAUGGUGCAGCGUGUGUGUGUGUGUGUGUGUGUGUGAGUGACAGUGGUGAGGCUUUGUGUCACAGCAGCAGAAUCUAAACACAUACCAUGAAGAAGAAGAAGAACAGAAGAGGGGAGAGAGAAUUAGAGGGAAAGACAGAAGAGUAAAUACAGUGUCGCAAUGAAGACAAUGAAAAGAAGUUACAGAGAGAAAGUAACCCCAGCAACAAAAGUUAAAUCACUCUGAGAUGAUUACUUGACUGCUGAUUGAAUAGUUGUGCGUCUGGGUUCAAUUAUAUUUAAAUGAAUUGAAUCAACACAGGAAGUGAAAUACCACAACAUCAAGUUUAUGUCCACGAUACUGUCAUGAAUUUAUGAGUUUCCUUCAAGAAAUAUUUAGUUUUGUUAUUUCCUUAUUAUUAUAGUAGGGGAAUGACAGUUCUUGUCCCAAACUAAAUUUACUGUAAGUAUGAUUCUGAUUCU